GACGAACGCUGGCGGCGUGCUUAACACAUGCAAGUCGAACGAUGAACCUUCCAUGAUCUAUUCGUAGAGAUUGGGAGCGGAUUAGUGGCGAACGGGUGAGUAACGCGUGAGCAACCUGCCUUAAACAACGGGAUAGCCUCGGGAAACAGGGAUUAAUACCGUAUGAGACCCCGCCUUCACAUGAAGAAGAGGUUAAAGAUUUAUCGGUUAAAGCUGGGCUCGCGUCUGAUUAGCUAGUAGGUGAGAUAAACACCCACCAAGGCAACGAUCGGUGACCGGCUAGAGAGAGAAAACGGGCACAUUGGAACUGAGACACGGUCCAAACGCCUACGAGAGGCAGCCGUGGGGAAUAUUGCACAAUGGGAGAAACCUUGAUGCAGGGACGCCGCGUGAGCGAUGAAGGAAUUCGUUUCGUAAAGCUCUGUCCUAGGGGAAGAUAAUGACAGUACCCUUGGAGGAAGCACCGGCUAAAUACGUGCCAGCAGCCGCCGCAGUAA
rnacentral:rRNA from 1 species